AACUUGAUCUGGUUGAUUCUGCCAGUAGUCAUAUGCUUGUCUUAAAGACUAAGCCAUGCAUGUCUAAGUAUAAGUAUUAUACAGCGAAACUGCGAAUGGCUCAUUAAAACAGUUAUAGUUUAUUCGAUUAUUUUCAUCUACAUGGAUAACCGUAGUAAUUCUAGAGCUAAUACAUGCUGUCAAACCUGACUUUUGUGGAAGGGUUGUAUUUAUUAGAUAUAAAACCAAUACCGGCAACGGGAUUGUGAUGAUUCAUAAUAACUGAGCGGAUCGCGGCUUUGCCGCGACGAAUCGUUCAAGUUUCUGCCCUAUCAGCUUUCGAUGGUAGUGUAUUGGACUACCAUGGCGAUCACGGGUAACGGGGAAUUAGGGUUCGAUUCCGGAGAGGGAGCCUGAGAAAUGGCUACCACAUCUAAGGAAGGCAGCAGGCGCGUAAAUUACCCAAUCCUAAUUCAGGGAGGUAGUGACAAGAAAUAACAACUCGGACCUCACACGAGGUUGCGAGAUUGCAAUG
rnacentral:rRNA from 1 species